GCAGAGAUACUCAAGCGGUCAACGAGGGCAGACUGUAAAUCUGCUGGCGCAAGCCUUCGGGGGUUCGAAUCCCUCUCUCUGCACCA
rnacentral:tRNA from 1 species